rnacentral:ncRNA from 1 species
UCAAUUAAGUGUUCAAGCGCUCAUGUUAUUUACAGUGACCGGAUCCAGCAAUAUUGCGUGGGUGAAGAAGGGCACUGUCGCUUAACAAGCUCUUUCGUGAGUUUAGAUCAUGAGAGGACUAGAGGAAGAAGCCACUGAGAUAGGGGAGAGUGGAAUUUCGUGUGGAGGGAUCAAAUCCUAAGAUAUAAGAAGGAACACCAACCGCGAAGACAGCUCUUUGGGUCCCCACUGACGUUGGGGUGAGAAAGCAUGGAGAGAAAACAUGAUCAGAUACCAGGGUAGUCCAUUCCGUAAGCGUGUUCGUCCUUGGUCUGCCUGCUUACUAAGUAGGAUUAGGAUCAGGGGGCAGCUAACACGUGAAACACUCCACCUGGGGAGUACAAUCGCAAGAUUGAAACUCAAAGGAAUUUAUGGGGGAUGCACAAGCGGUGGAGCAUGUGGUUUAAUUUGAUACAACGCACAGAACCUUACCAGCUCUUGACAUAUGAACAAGUGUCCCUGUCCCUAACGGGAUGGUGCGAAAAUUCAUACAGGUGUUGCAUGGAUGUUGAAAAUUCAUACUGAUCAAUGCCAUAAAUUUCUUCUCAAUGAAUCAAUAGGGCGAGGGUGAGAAACCGAACACCUCUCCCGACAUAAGUUAUUUAUUGCUCACCCAUAGGAGGGUGAGGAGAGCAUUUAACUAGUCUUGACUAAAGGGAGAGAAGGGCGAUGCCAGUGGCUCUGUUUUUUAAUCGACGAAACUCCUAUGAAGGCAGGUGUGUUGGGAGUACCUAUUGAUGGGAAAGCGGAUUUAAGAAAGUAUUUACUGAGACAUGUAGAAGCGAAAGCCCUUGGUAUUAUUGAACGUAAAUCUAUGCAUGAACUUGUGCAAAUAGGGUUAAAAGCGGUGGAUAGCCUGGUCCCUAUAGGCAGUAGUCAACCAAAACUGAUUACCAUUAUAACUAAUAACAACCACAUUAAGUAAAAAGUGGUUGAUAUAAACAGAUGGGCGUAUAUCAAUCACUUUUUAUUUAAUGUGGUUGUGGCCGACCACAAUCAUUUAUAAAAUAAUAAGUUAUAAAUGUAAAGAAUAAAAAAAAUUAAGAAUUAAGUAUAUAUAAAAAUUUUAACUA